AGCGUAGACGGCGCAGCAAGUCUGAUGUGAAAGGCAGGGGCUUAACCCCUGGACUGCAUUGGAAACUGCUGUGCUUGAGUGCCGGAGGGGUAAGCGGAAUUCCUAGUGUAGCGGUGAAAUGCGUAAAUAUUAGGAGGAACACCAGUGGCGAAGGCGGCUUACUGGACGGUAACUGACGUUGAGGCUCGAAAGCGUGGGGAGCAAACA
rnacentral:rRNA from 1 species